UACGUAGGAGGCAAGCGUUAUCCGGAUUUACUGGGCGUAAAGAGCGCGCGGGCGGCUUUUCAAGUCGGAUGUAAAAUCUCCCGGCUUAACUGGGAGGGAUCAUCCGAUACUGUUGAGCUAGAGUGCAGCAGAGGAAAGCGGAAUUCCCGGUGUAGUGGUGAAAUGCGUAGAUAUCGGGAGGAACACCAGUGGCGAAGGCGGCUUUCUGGGCUGUAACUGACGCUGAGGCGCGAAGGCGUGGGGAG
rnacentral:rRNA from 1 species